rnacentral:miRNA from 14 species
CCUCAUUGCCGUGUGCAAUCAG